UAGGAGUUGCCAUGGCAACAAUGCCUGUUAUUUGUUGUCCACCAUCCACCUCUCUACGCUAGUCCAGCCCACCCUCUCUUGUUCUCCAUUUCUUUCAUUUCCCCCCCCAAGCUUGUCUCAUCAAAAAGAAAGCGUGCUCAGAAACGCUGGACCACAUCACUGCAACCUCGCCACACACUCCAGCAGCAACAAGGUCUCACAGAGGGCCCAUAUCCUCUCAUCAUGACAGAAGUCACCCACCUCACCUCCUUUAAGCCACACAUACCCACAGUGACUCCUCAGCACAGUAUCAACGCCACAUCAAAGACCUUCAGCCUCCUGACCUCUACUGAUACACUCGUCCCAUGGGAGGAGCUGCACAUGCAAGUUCACACCAUCCUGAUUGUCAUCGUUUUUGGUGUGGUCUGCUUCCUGCUCCUGCUUGCCUUCUUUUACACCUUCUGCCUCCAUUGCUCUAUCAGUUCAUCCCCCAAAGACUCACACAAAGCCAGCAGAGGCAGCUUAGACCGCGAGGACGCCACCUUCAGGCGCAGUUCAUCUGACAACCAGUCUGUGGGGAAUGUUGUCUAACUGAGACAAGGGAUUAGGAUAACUGAAACUUGACUGAAUAAUAUUUAAUUCUUA